GGAAGGAUCAUUAACGAACUGUCAAACAUGGGUUGUUGCUGGCCCCCAAACGGGGCAUGUGCACGCUCUGUUUACACAUCCACUCACACCUGUGCACCCUUUGUAGUUCUGUGGAUGGGGAGACGCCGUCUUCCUUCUGUGGCUCUACGUCUUUACACACACACCGUAGCAACGUCUCAUGGAAUGUUUUUUCGCGUUUAACGCAAUACAAUACAACUUUCAGCAACGGAUCUCUUGGCUCUCGCAUCGAUGAAGAACGCAGCGAAAUGCGAUAAGUAAUGUGAAUUGCAGAAUUCAGUGAAUCAUCGAAUCUUUGAACGCACCUUGCGCCCCUUGGUUAUUCCUCGGGGCAUGCCUGUUUGAGUAUCAUGAACACCUCAACUCUCACGGUCUUCUGUGAUGAGCUUGGACUUUGGGGGUUUGCCGGCCCUGUGGCCGGCUCCUCUCAAAUGAAUCAGCUUGCCAGUGUUUGGUGGCAUCACGGGUGUGAUAACUAUCUACGCUCGCGAUCGUCUGCCAGGUAACCCUCAGCGAUGAAGGUUCAUUGGAGCUCAUAAACGUCUCUCCCCAGCGAGGACAGCUUUUGAACGUUCGAUCUCAAAUCAGGUAGGACUACCCGCUGAACUUAAGCAUAUCAAUA
rnacentral:sRNA from 1 species